UAAAAUCUUUAGUCACGAAUGAAUAUUAAUUAUGUACUAUGUAUUUUGUUUUCAACCCAAACCGUGGGUAAAUCAAUUCCCCUUUCUCCUCUCUCUCUGGCUGAGAGACCCACCGUCUUCUCACUUCUCUCAUUGACCUCCAAUUCCACCCACCAAUGGCGCGGCCGCGGCCACAGGUCGCCACCACCACUGCCGUCUUGAUACUAUUUCUCGUGGCCGAGGUCGUUUCCUCUGGCCAAGCAACCACCAUCGUCCUCCGACCUCCCCACGGCGGCAGCAAUCGCCACACCAUGUUCCUCCCCCUUUUUCUCUCUCCUCCUCCUAACAGCUAUUCCGGCAACUCCUCUCCCUCCGUCCACCGCCAGAUUCAGGGAUCCGACCCUCUCGACCCUAACGCUCGCAUGCUCCUCUAUGACGAUCUCCUUCUCAACGGUGUCAGAGGCCAGAGAUUCUUAGAAUUGGAACUCUUUUGUCUUACAAUUCAGUCAUUGGAAGAGUUUCAAAGGUUGCCAUUGAAACUGCUAUUGCUGAUGUUAAUGCUGAUCCAAGCAUUCUUAAUGGGACUCAGCUGAAACUAAUCAUGGAGGACACAGGUUGCAACGUUUUCUUGGGGUCUGUUAAAGUUUUCAGGUUUGAAUUGAUUGUUUGUAACUACAUAUGUUACCGACGACUCACAAAAUGUUUGUAACUACAUAUGCAAACAAAUUGUGAGACAUCGGUCAUUUCAGCGCACGGUUUUUCUGGUCAAGGAAUUGGCCAAAACACAUGGUAUCAAUGAUUCAAAGUCUGGAACUUUAAAUUCAUACUGUCUCAGCAUGCUUAUUAUUUUCCAUUUUCAGACAUGUGUACCUCCACUUUUACCUCCUCUUAAAGAAAUCUACCCAGGAAAUAUAGUUGAUGACCUGAUAGGUGUGAGGGUUGUUGCAGAGAGAUAUAUUGAAUAAAUAUGUGCUGAGAAUAUAAACAAGUUUAGAUCGGAUAAGUCCAGAAAAAUAAAUAGAAGUUCUUUGUCUGAGCUUUUCAUUUCAUUCCUCAAAAAAGUUAUUUCUUUCAUAAUUCUUUCCUUUACAAGUGAAUUUAUAUGUAUGAGAUCAGCACCAACGAUGGAUCUAGGGUGGGUGGGCAGGUGGGGGGCACACCCCCCUAAAAUUUGAAAAAUAUCACUUAUUAUAUUAGAAAUUUUAAAAUAAUUAAAAAUUAUAAGGAUUUGCACACCCAAACUUAUUUUCGCACCCCCAUAGUUAUAAUCUUGGGUCCGUCCCAGCACCUUGUAU